GAUGAACGCUGGCGGCGUGCCUAAUACAUGCAAGUCGAGCGAACGGACGAGAAGCUUGCUUCUCUGAUGUUAGCGGCGGACGGGUGAGUAACACGUGGAUAACCUACCUAUAAGACUGGGAUAACUUCGGGAAACCGUAGCUAAUACCGGAUAAUAUUUUGAACCGCAUGGUUCAAAAGUGAAAGACGGUCUUGCUGUCACUUAUAGAUGGAUCCGCGCUGCAUUAGCUAGUUGGUAAGGUAACGACUUACCAAGGCAACGAUGCAUAGCCGACCUGAGAGGGUGAUCGGCCACACUGGAACUGAGACACGGUCCAGACUCCUACGGGAGGCAGCAGUAGGGAAUCUUCCGCAAUGGGCGAAAGCCUGACGGAGCAACGCCGCGUGAGUGAUGAAGGUCUUCGGAUCGUAAAACUCUGUUAUUAGGGAAGAACAUAUGUGUAAGUAACUGCGCACAUCUUGACGGUACCUAAUCAGAAAGCCACGGCUAACUACGUG
rnacentral:rRNA from 1 species